rnacentral:rRNA from 1 species
UGGGGAAUAUUGCACAAUGGGCGGAAGCCUGAUGCAGCGACGCCGCGUGGGGGAUGAAGGCCUUCGGAUUGUAAACUCCUUUCGACAGGGACGAAGCUUUUGUGACGGUACCUGUAUAAGAAGCACCGGCUAACUACGUGCCAGCAGCCGCGGUAAUACGUAGGGUGCGAGCGUUGUCCGGAAUUACUGGGCGUAAAGAGCUCGUAGGUGGUUUGUCGCGUCGUCUGUGAAAUUCCGGGGCUUAACUCCGGGCGUGCAGGCGAUACGGGCUGACUUGAGUGCUGUAGGGGAGACUGGAAUUCCUGGUGUAGCGGUGAAAUGCGCAGAUAUCAGGAGGAACACCGAUGGCGAAGGCAGGUCUCUGGGCAGUAACUGACGCUGAGGAGCGAAAGCAUGGGUAGCGAACAGG